UUUGUAUAAAAGCGCUGCAUAUCAUUUUGUUACAAUAGAUAUUCAAUAGUAACAUCGGUGCAGGCCAAUGUAAACUUGCGUUACGGAGUACAUUUUUCUUCGACACAGCAUUCGGCAUUUCUCCCGAGUAUUGACCUUCUACAGAAAGCAGAGAGAGGCCAGAGAUCGAGUCGGACGUUUGCAGCAAAAAAAUUACCAGAUCGCAUUGCUUCUUCACUCGUAAAGGAUGCGGAAUUUUAUGAAGGCAACAAGACUGUGACAUCCUAUGUCGACAUUCCCUCCACACAUCGUUUCAAGUCUGACUAAUGAUGGAUUGUGCAAUUUAUCCGGGAGGAAUCAUAAAAAAGCUAAAAUUCAUUGAAUUUUUAGAAGAAUUUCAUCGACGCAUCAACCACGCGAUGUGUGAUUCAGAGAAAAUUUUACCAAACUCAUCACGAACCUGACCUACAUUUGAGUUGCACGUGUGACAGUCGAACGUGUCUUCGGAUUCUAUGCCAACACUCACCAAGAAUCAGAAUAGAAGGAACGAAGCGCAAAACAGGUCACGUUCUACAAAUCAUCAUUAGUUUGCAGCGCGAAGCGGUAGAUUAUCCAUGGACUGCUUCAUGUGCGCACACCACGCCGUUGAGCCAAGAAAGAAAGUCGAGCAGUCGCUAUAGAAACGUUUUCGAAAGACUUGGAGGCCAUUGUGAUCGAAAU